UGCGCCGUGGAGAAAAGGUUUCUCGUUGGCCCCAUAAGCCAGAGAUUGCGGGUUCGAAUCCCGUCGGCGCUA
rnacentral:tRNA from 1 species